GACGAACGCUGGCGGCGCGCCUAACACAUGCAAGUCGAGCGAGAACCAGGACUUCGGUCCUGGGGAGAGCGGCGAACGGGUGCGUAACACGUGAGCAACCUGCCCCGAAGACCGGGACAACCGAUGGAAACGUCGGCUAAUACCGGAUGCCCUCACCGGAUCGCAUGGUCUGGUGAGGAAAUGGAUUCCGCUUCGGGAUGGGCUCGCGGUCUAUCAGCUUGUUGGUGGGGUAACGGCCCACCAAGGCGACGACGGAUAGCUGGUCUGAGAGGACGAUCAGCCACACUGGGACUGAGACACGGCCCAGACUCCUACGGGAGGCAG
rnacentral:rRNA from 1 species